rnacentral:rRNA from 1 species
UGCAGUCGAGCGGACAGAUGGGAGCUUGCUCCCUGAUGUUAGCGGCGGACGGGUGAGUAACACGUGGGUAACCUGCCUGUAAGACUGGGAUAACUCCGGGAAACCGGGGCUAAUACCGGAUGCUUGUUUGAACCGCAUGGUUCGAACAUAAAAAGGUGGCUUCGGCUACCACUUACAGAUGGACCCGCGGCCAUUAGCUAGUUGGUGAGGUAACGGCUCACCAAGGCGACGAUGCGUAGCCGACCUGAGAGGGUGAUCGGCCACACUGGGACUGAGACACGGCCCAGACUCCUACGGGAGGCAGCAGUAGGGAAUCUUCCGCAAUGGACGAAAGUCUGACGGAGCAACGCCGCGUGAGUGAUGAAGGUUUUCGGAUCGUAAAGCUCUGUUGUUAGGGAAGAACAAAGUGCCGUUCAAAUAGGGCGGCACCUUGACGGUACCUAACCAGAAAGCCACGGCUAACUACGUGCCAGCAGCCGCGGUAAUACGUAGGUGGCAAGCGUUGUCCGGAAUUAUUGGGCGUAAAGGGCUCGCAGGCGGUUUCUUAAGUCUGAUGUGAAAGCCCCCGGCUCAACCGGGGAGGGUCGUUGGAAACUGGGGAACUUGAGUGCAGAAGAGGAGAGUGGAAUUCCACGUGUAGCGGUGAAAUGCGUAGAGAUGUGGAGGAACACCAGUGGCGAAGGCGACUCUCUGGUCUGUAA